UUCUCUGUCUCUCUCCCUUCCCUUUACCUUUUAUCUAUCCUGUUACUACUUUGCUGCCACCGUGGAUGAAGAGCAUUAGAAUGGCGAUCCUCGGAAACGCUAUCAUUCUGUACACAAAGCGACAGGAAGUCUCGACUCCUGGUUCCCUCUCGGCCAGUUCCAGAAGCAGAAUCCUUUGACUCCUCGGCACAGCCUCACUGCUCUGGGUGUUGCUGUCCCUCAGGUGAAAUUCACAUAAAAUGCAAUUAACCCUUCACAGUUUAUGAUCCACAAUGCCGUGCAACCAGCAGCCUGCUCUUGUUUUAGGAUGAAAACCCUGUACCCAAAGAGGAGAUUAGGACACAGACGCACACAGAGGGAAGACUGUGUGAGGACAGCAGGAGAGGACACCAUCUGCCAGCCAGGGAGGGGGCCUCGGGAGAAACAACCCUGCUAUACCUUGAUUUUGGACUUCCAGCCUUCA